rnacentral:rRNA from 1 species
UUAGGGUUUUGUACCGGAGAGGGAGCCUGAGAGAUUGCUCCCACGUCCAAGGACGGCAGCAGGCGCGAAAAUUGCCCACUCUUUGCAGGAGGCAGUUAUGAGACGUGAAGAUGAGUAUCUUGUAAAGAGGGAUAGGAGAAUUGGAGGGCAAGUUUGGUGCCAGCAGCCGCGGUAAUACCGACUCCAAGAGUGUGUAUGAGAGAUGCUGCAGUUAAAAAGUCCGUAGUCAUAGAAGGGCAAAGAGAGAUGCGAGGUCUCACAGUGCGAUGAUGGAGGAGCCGAUGGGGAACAUAGUAUACCAGGGCGAGAGAUGAAAUGCCAAGACCCCUGGUGGACUGAGCGAGGCGAAGGCGAUGUUCUUGUAGGCAUUCGGUGAUCAAGGACGAAGGCUGGAGUAUCGAAAGUGAUUAGAUACCGCAGUAGUUCCAGCAGUAAAAGAUGCCGACAUGCUCAUUGGACACAGUGGGCAGGGAGAAAUCUUAGAGUUCGGGCUCUGGGGAUAGUAUGCUCGCAAGGGUGAAAAUUAAAGAAAUUGACGGAGCUACACCACAAGGAGUGGAUUGUGCGGCUUAAUUUGACUCAACGCGAGGAAACUUACCAGGGCCAAGUAUUGUGUAGAAACGAGCAUACAGGAGGUGGUGCAUGGUCGUUGGAAUUGAUGGGAUGACUUUUGACCUAAUGGUUG